rnacentral:rRNA from 1 species
UACGUAGGGUGCAAGCGUUGUCCGGAAUUAUUGGGCGUAAAGAGCUCGUAGGCGGUUUGUCGCGUCUGCUGUGAAAACUCAGGGCUUAACCCUGAGCUUGCAGUGGGUACGGGCAGACUAGAGUGCAGUAGGGGAGACUGGAAUUCCUGGUGUAGCGGUGAAAUGCGCAGAUAUCAGGAGGAACACCGGUGGCGAAGGCGGGUCUCUGGGCUGUAACUGACGCUGAGGAGCGAAAGCGUGGGGAGCGAACAGG